rnacentral:rRNA from 1 species
UACGGAGGGUGCAAGCGUUGUUCGGAAUCAUUGGGCGUAAAGCGCGUGUAGGCGGCUUGGCAAGUCGGUUGUGAAAUCCCGGGGCCCAACCCCGGAACUGCAUUCGAAACUGCCUCGCUAGAGUCCCGGAGAGGAAGGCGGAAUUCCCGGUGUAGAGGUGAAAUUCGUAGAUAUCGGGAGGAACACCAGCGGCGAAGGCGGCCUUCUGGACGGUGACUGACGCUGAGACGCGAAAGCGUGGGGAGCAAACAGG